GCAAGAACCACACACAUCAUGC
rnacentral:siRNA from 1 species